UGAAAAACAAAAGUAAACGUAUUUAUAAUUUGGUGAACAUAGUGAAAGCUCUCCAAGAAAACAAAACUACAAACAAGUAACGAUAGAAAAACUGAUUUAAAAUCCAGUAUAAUCAACUAUAGACACUGUGUAAAUCAUGCUUUUAUAUAAAAUUAAGUCAACUUAAACUACAGCAACAAACUCCUCAAUUAAACCGUACAACUUUGGGCAGCAGAAAUAUUUUCGUAACUUCAUAAGCAACGUCCAUCAAAGGGCAGCUAGAAAUAAUCUACGACACGUUUUGGUCCUUUGAUUUACUCUUCCGAUAUUUGUUCAUACUAUAUUCAAUUGCAAAGCGCCAUAAAACAAAACUUGACCGUAUCGUUCAAUGUGGUGAGAAAGCGUUGCGAAGCUUACACGCAUAGCAGACGAGACGGUUAAAGACGCACUUAAGUUUGACGCUCUGUUCAAAUCUUUCAUAAGCGAUGCGUUUUUGUUCACUAGUGGAGGAACAUAUGAGUAAAAUCUUUUGUCUGAGGAUGAUAUGCGAAGCAUAGUUAAGGAAUGCGAGGUCCAAGUAGCAAGAAGAAAACCAAAGAAAGAAGACGCGAUCAGGUACUCUUGAUUUGCCUCGAAUAUAAAUCGACAAUGAGAAACGUUUACAAGAGGAGCCACAACAAUUAACGAGGGAACAAAACCAAGUGUUAAAGAAGAAAAUUGAGCAAGAUGAAGUUCGAAAUUCCCGGUUUAUGUUAAAGAACUUUGAACAGUGAAACGAGUAACUUUUUUUUAUGUAUUGUUUAUGUAUGUAUAGAUUUAUUUCUGUUAUGAAAUAUAUUAUGAAAACAAAAAUAACAAAAUUCGUGGUAAUGAAUAUUUAAACUGAACAUCCUGAAGCUGCAUUAUUAUAUACGUUCUCCUUAAAGCAUCGAUCUUAUCUUGAUCCAUGGAGUAUGCAUUUAAAAGCCGCUUGUCACAGUUCUCAUAACAAUUUACUGUCGCGAACGUCAGUCGUCUUUAAUCAAAUGGUAUAAAAUAGUGUUUUGGAGUAUUCUGCCUAAUAUUAAUAUAUUGAUUGAAACUAAACGAUUAUUUUUUAAGAAUACCUUAUCUUUAGUAGAUUAAGUAUAGGCUAAGCUGGCGAGAUAUGGCUUAUAUAUCCAGUUUAACGGUAGUAUACAACUUCAGUGCUUAUUCAGAUGCUUUUUCAGUGCGAUCAGAUUUAAGUGCUUGGCUUCGGAUUUUAAGCCAAUAAAAAUUUAAAUAUAAAGUUGCAUUAUCGAUUCAUCGUAUUCUACUUAUUAUUCACUUAUUAACCACUUAGGCUAAGUUUACAUUUUCUUAUAUUUCUACAUAACCUAAACCUAGUUAUGACCCAGUUAAGUUAACCUACUUUAGUUAUAAUCCACAUUAAAUGUACUGCCCUAAUUAAGAUAACUUGCGUCUGUGAAAUUUUAGUUAUAACCUAGUUUGAAAGUUAACGAUUUGCUUAAGUUAGAACAAAAAUUUAUUAUAUAAGACACUGACCACAUUUCAGUUAAAAGAGCAAUAUA